rnacentral:misc_RNA from 1 species
GGAUGAGAAGGUAAUAUUUUGUUCACAAGACCUUUCAUUUUAGGAAUAAAUGAUGGAAUGGACAAGUUUUAUCAUUUUGCAUUAUGUUAGUGACAUGAAGACUGGAAUGCAUAAAGGACUGUAGUUAAAGGUGAGCUGCAGAUUCUGCCUGGCUGCUGGGCACUGAGGCAUGGUAAUGUUAGGGUACCUUGAUAGUCUCAUGGCAACUUUUGCCGACUUUACUAAGGCACUCUUAUUCAAUGUCUAGGAAAGAGCCUUGACUAAGGUGAGGGGUGUUUGGGGCUAGUGAUGUUAGCACUCAAUUGAAUUUGAUAUCCUUCCUAUAGAUAUAGAAAAUAGCCCUCAAUUUGAGAAGACCUCAAUCAUUUGGGGAGGUGGAAAUUCAACCAAUAUCUUUCAAUCUUAAAAUACAGUAGCAGUUAUUGUUCAGUAUUUUUUUGCCUUACUUCCUUGAUAUAAAAUUGCUUAAAUAGUUUUCUGUCUCAUCCUUGCAUCUACAGGGAAUACAAAAAUGUUAGGUACUUCCCUAGCAUCCGUCUUUUCUUUGUUUUCCUAUUCCGUUGAUGUUCAUGUUUGCAUUUUAACUAUUCUAAGAACUUGUAAGGUGAAGCUUCUUUAUCUCUAUAUUACUAUUUCUUCCUGCAUAAUUCAUCUGCAAAACUAAAAAAUGAGUAAUAUGGGCACAAAUUACUGAAUGGUUACAACAACAACUAAGCCUUAACACCAAACUAGUUGGAAUCGGUUAUAUAGAUCUUUU